GACGAACGCUGGCGGCAGGCCUAACACAUGCAAGUCGAGUGAUGCCUUCGGGCUUAGCGGCGGACGGGUGAGUAACGCGUGGGAACGUGCCCUUUGCUACGGAAUAGCCCCGGGAAACUGGGAGUAAUACCGUAUGUGCCCUUCGGGGGGAAGAUUUCUCGGCAAAGGAUCGGCCCGCGUUGGAUUAGGUAGUCGGGGGGGUAAUGGCCUACCAAGCCGACGAUCCAUGUCAGGUUUGAGAGGAUGAUCAGCCACACUGGGACUGAUACACGGCCCAGACUCCUACGGGAGGCAGCAGUGGGGAAUCUUAGACAAUGGGCGCAAGCCUGAUCUAGCCAUGGCGCGUGAUCGGUGAAGGCCUUAGGGUUGUAAAGAUCCUUCAGGUGGGAAGAUAAUGACUGUACCACCAGAAGAAGCCCCGGCUAACUCCGUGCCAGCCGCCGCCGUAA
rnacentral:rRNA from 1 species